rnacentral:rRNA from 1 species
ACGUUAUGGUGGGCGACUCUAAGGAGACUGCCGGUGACAAACCGGAGGAAGGUGGGGAUGACGUCAAGUCAUCAUGGCCCUUACGGCCUGGGCUACACACGUGCUACAAUGGUCGGUACAAAGGGUUGCCAAGCCGCGAGGUGGAGCUAAUCCCAUAAAACCGAUCGUAGUCCGGAUCGCAGUCUGCAACUCGACUGCGUGAAGUCGGAAUCGCUAGUAAUCGUGAAUCAGAAUGUCACGGUGAAUACGUUCCCGGGCCUU